rnacentral:rRNA from 1 species
CCUACGGGGGGCAGCAGUGGGGAAUAUUGGACAAUGGGCGAAAGCCUGAUCCAGCCAUGCCGCGUGUGUGAAGAAGGCCUUCGGGUUGUAAAGCACUUUCAGUGGGGAAGAAAGCCUUGGGGCUAAUACCCUCGAGGAAGGACAUCACCCACAGAAGAAGCACCGGCUAACUCCGUGCCAGCAGCCGCGGUAAUACGGAGGGUGCGAGCGUUAAUCGGAAUUACUGGGCGUAAAGCGCGCGUAGGCGGUCUGAUAAGCCGGUUGUGAAAGCCCCGGGCUCAACCUGGGAACGGCAUCCGGAACUGUCCGGCUUGAGUGUAGGAGAGGAAGGGAGAAUUCCCCGGGUAGCGGUGAAAUGCGUAGAGAUCGGGUAGAAUUCCAGGGGCGAAGGCGGCCUUCUGGACUGACACUGACGCUGAGGUGCGAAAGCGUGGGUAGCAAACAGGAUUAGAUACCCUUGUAGUC